GCCUAACACAUGCAAGUCGAACGGUAACAGGAAGCAGCUUGCUGCUUCGCUGACGAGUGGCGGACGGGUGAGUAAUGUCUGGGAAACUGCCUGAUGGAGGGGGAUAACUACUGGAAACGGUAGCUAAUACCGCAUAACGUCGCAAGACCAAAGAGGGGGACCUUCGGGCCUCUUGCCAUCGGAUGUGCCCAGAUGGGAUUAGCUAGUAGGUGGGGUAACGGCUCACCUAGGCGACGAUCCCUAGCUGGUCUGAGAGGAUGACCAGCCACACUGGAACUGAGACACGGUCCAGACUCCUACGGGAGGCAGCAGUGGGGAAUAUUGCACAAUGGGCGCAAGCCUGAUGCAGCCAUGCCGCGUGUAUGAAGAAGGCCUUCGGGUUGUAAAGUACUUUCAGCGGGGAGGAAGGCGAUAAGGUUAAUAACCUUGUCGAUUGACGUUACCCGCAGAAGAAGCACCGGCUAACUCCGUGCCAGCAGCCGCGGUAAUACGGAGGGUGCAAGCGUUAAUCGGAAUUACUGGGCGUAAAGCGCACGCAGGCGGUCUGUCAAGUCGGAUGUGAAAUCCCCGGGCUCAACCUGGGAACUGCAUUCGAAACUGGCAGGCUAGAGUCUUGUAGAGGGGGGUAGAAUUCCAGGUGUAGCGGUGAAAUGCGUAGAGAUGCUGGAGGAAUACCGGUGGCGAAGGCGGCCCCCUGGACAAAGACUGACGCUCAGGUGCGAAA
rnacentral:rRNA from 1 species